CAACAUUCUCACUUUUUACGUGACACUGAGAAAGGCAAAACUAAAAGUUCCCGCUGACAGGGUGGCUCCAACACCCUUCCCUUUCACAGCCAACACAUCAUAGGCGAACAAGAUACGUGAGCUUCCUUUCCUUCUCCACCUACCAAUGGUUUGGCUUUCUGUUUGGACAGGCCCAUUCCCUGCAGCUGGAGUCCAGCCCUGCAGAGCUGCAGAACCCUGGAGAAGCAGCCCAGCCUUGGAGGGCGUCGGGAAGCACCUCGUCCCAAAUCCAUCAGCCAAUAGCUGGCGGAGGCACCCUGGGCAAAAUCAUUUUCUCUCUCUGAGGCCUCUGAUUCCUCAUCAGAGGAAUAGAAGUAGAGGUGAUGCAAAGGGUCUUCCUGCCCAGACAAGUUAUUUCGAGGACCCAGGGUAGGGAGGCAGUGUUAUCAGUACAGAGAAAAGCCACAGCUCACAGGACGGGCAGAAUUCUCUUCCUCUCUCUCAGCCCCACCAAGAGCCUCUGUUAGACCUAUAGACCCUCGGGGCAUAGGCUGGGCUGUGGCUGCACCCAGACUUUAGAAGGGGAAAAAGGAGGACCACACAACCUGAAACUUACUCUGACCUGGGGUUUAGGCCCCCAGUCCAUUGAGAGCAGUCAAAUUUCAGGAUAAAACACAUAGGUUGAGAGAUCAGACAUGUGGGGCUUCAAGUCCAUCUUAAGAGUCUCUUCCUAGCUGUGUGACCUUGAGCAAGUCACUGUCUCUCUGAGCCUUAGUUUCCUCAUCUACAUAAUGGGAAUAAAACUAGUGCUACCUCCAAGGGUAGAUGUAAUAAAGCAAGGCUUAGAAAGCACCUAGCCCAGCCUCCAGGGCACAGCAAAUGCUCAUCCACGCUGCUGCCCCUGCACCUGUGCUGAGAGCCGAGGGGCUGUGCUCCCGGGCUUCCCAUCCCCACCUGACUCAGGGCCUCGUCCUGCCACCGCUGUCCAUACCGGGUACGAGUGCCACUUGCAGGGUACGUAAAAUGGCGUUUGAAAGAUGAAGGCUCUGUGCAGCUCAUGGAUUUUCUGUUUAAAUUUACUGAUUCCCUAAUUAUAAUCUCAGCAAGAAGGAAAGGACCGAGACCAGCAGGGGCUGUCAAAGAGCAAUUACUUGGCAAUUUUCUUUUUUCCAGUGGAAGCGAAGGGAGGUGUAGGAGCACGACACAGCGAGCUCAGAGUGUCAGAUCCAGAAGGACUCUAAGCAAGCAAUUUCUGAGCGUGAGAACAAAGAUGCCUGGGCUUCAAAAUCUGGUUCCACCACCACUUACCAGCAAGACAACUUUGGACGUGUUGCAGCACCUCUCUGUACUUCACCUUCCUCAACUGUAAAAAUAAGACAAUAACAGAACCAUCUUCCUGGGAGGAUAACUUACGAUUACAUGGGACACAUGCACACCAAUGCACGUGUACGCCCAUGCAUGCGCACACACAAACAUGCGUGCAUGAACACACGGUACCUCACAAAGUGCCGGGCACCUGCGAACUGCGAAUUGACUGCUGUUGCUGGAGGCUUACUACACUCUAAGCACAGUGCUGAGUGCCAUAGCUGGAUUUUCUCAUCAAAUCCUCACCACCUGCCAACGUCACGGGAAGUCUGGGGAGACAGACGGAGCUUACCUCGCGGCCACACAGACAACUUAAAGUGUCCUUCCCUUGUGUGGGAUGGAAGAGAGAAGCAACUGGGUGUAGCUGAGAGUUCCAUGUCCUACGAAGUGAAUUCUCCAUUCAGAGGGCAGGACUCUCCUUGGCAAAACGGUCAGGGUUCGCCCAGGCAGGCUCCGAGUUCCAGGGGCACGCAAGGCGGGUGCCUUUCCUUCUGGGUGCCGACAACAGAGCCUGCCUUCCCUCUGCCACCAUGAGCGGCUGCUCCAAAAGAUGCAAGCUUGGGUUCGUGAAAUUCUCCCAGACCAUCUUUAAGCUCAUCACUGGGACCCUCAGCAAAGGUAGGGAGCCUGGCCUUGAUCCUCGUUUUCUGUAUUGGUGCGCUCUGGCUGGUCAGAGUGCCUUGGUGCGGUUAAGUGUGGCCAUUCCCGUGCGCCUGGGUCUCAGAGGAAGCUGGGGAGAAAUCGGGGGCUGGAUUUCAGGGUUGCUGACAACCUGGGUCCUGGCUCCGAGCAGGCGGGCACCAGGCCAGGGAGUUCAGCCGUCUGUAAUUGCCUGGAACUUUGGAAAUGGGUUUGGCGGUGUGUGGCUGAUUGGUUACAGGGGGUCAGAGGGACAGAACCCUUCCCAGAGCACUAGAAGCAGCUUAGCAUGACUAGAGUUUCAAGAAGUUAUCCACGGAGUGUUGUGCCUUGUGAUAAAAGAGAGAUUUGAUGCAGUGGGCCGUGAGUAAUUCUGCAGAACAGAGAGGCUGGAGGGGGCGCCAGCAGGAGGUGGCUCGGGGCUGGAAGCCACCGUGCACUGGUGAAUACAGGAUCUAUAUCAGCUCUGGGUCUGAUGUCAGGAGCGAAGAGCUUCCUCUCACGGGGUUCCAGGGUCUUGCGUUUCUGGGUCUUUGUUCAUCGUUUCUUUGUGUUUUUUUUGGACCCCUGUCUCUCUACAUCUCCUACCUAUGCGCAUUCCCCAGGAGCAGGCGUGGCAGGGAGUUUUCAGGUCUGACUGCCUGGGUAGCCCAGAAGGGAUGGUUGUGGACCGGAACUAGGACUGCAUGUGUGCAAUUCAGCCCCAGGAUGCAGAAGGGAGGCUAACUUCUGCAUGUGUGCAAUUCAGCCCCAGGAUGCAGAGGGGAGGCUAACUUCUCAGGGGCGUCCCUGCCUCUGGGGCCCCAUGUUACACUCUGUACCAAGGAGUGUGAGGGACUCAGAGACACUCUGGCAAACUUUCUGGAGAUAAAAUUUAAAGAGGGAGCAGCGGCGUGAUGUGGCUGCACUGGCUGAAAAAGUGUCUUUAAAUAUUCAUACCCUUCGUUCAGGAGGAAAGAGUCUUUGGGGGAGAUGCACUGGAAGCGGCAGGCAGGGUGUUUGGGGAAGGAGGGAGGCCCACAUACUCUUGAUCGGGGAUUUUUGUAAAUGACAAUGAGAGAAGAUAAAGACUGUGUAUGGCCAUCUCUGAUGACCUGGUUCAGGUCCCCGGCUGCCCGGCAGGUCCAGCAUGGUGAAAUUGUAAGGUGGGUAUGGGAGAAGGAAUGGUGAGAUUUAGCUUAUCUCCUUUCUCUGGCCCUUUCAUAGCUCCUGUUCUGUCCCCAUUGUACUUCUGAAAUAGGGCGCUGCCCCUCCAGGAAGCUCAGGUGGGUUGAAUGCCCAAUGCUAAGGGUCAGGCUGCCAGGCAGAAUUAUUAGGGGCUCCAAGUGGGACAGACUGAGGUGAGGUGGAGAGAGCAGAGGGCUUAGGGGAUUGUGCAGGGUUCCCCCAUUCAAUCCUCUCAUCAAGGAUCCCGGGAUCUCAGGGGGUGAUGGGUGAGGGGCAGCAUCCUAUCCCAAUCUCUGCUUCCCAGAAAUGCAAUGGAAAGAGCUUUGGCCCGAACUUAGGAAACCUAGGUCUCAACUCCAGCUUCGCUGCCUGUGCAAGUCACAGCCUCGCUGAGCCUCGGUUUCCUCAUCUGUAAAAUGAAGCUAACCUAUCUACCUCCCAGCCCCGUUUCAAGGAUCCAGGGAAGCUGAGACACAGGAUCCCUUUACAGAGUGUGUUGCAGUGACCCCUCAUGAAGGAGAGGUCAGGGACUGAGAUGGGCAUGGAUCUGGAGAGGGUGACCCAGGCCAUCCCCUCUGCCUGCCCAGGAUCAAAACCUCUUUAAUGUAGCCGACUGCAGGCAGGUCUGUACGCUCCCGGCGGCAUCAGAGGGGAAGAGAGAUCACAGAAGGACAUAAUGCCUCAAGAGUGGGUGAGUGUAAGUAGGUGAGGUCAGUCAGGGAGAGAGAGUGUAUGCAAAAGGGUGUGUGUGUGUGCAAGAGAGAGAAAGAGAGAUUCAGAGAAACGGUGGAUGACUAUUUGAAUAAAUGAGAAGGAUGAUAUUUUCGCCUGUAUAUUUGCCCACAACCAUCCACUUGACAUUUAUUUGCUGAACGCCUGCUCUGCGCCACACUCAUUAGACGCUGGACAUAUGGAUGAAUAGGACUCGAGCCCUCCGUCAAGAAACGUGCAUUCCUGUGGGAGCACAGACCAAAGACACAGACCCCACGGGGACAUCACUCUGAGUGCUGAGAAGGAGGGAGGCGUGGGUGGGGGCCAAAGGGCACAGAGAAAAAUAGCCUGAGCAGGUGAAGAAGCUCCUCCAAAAGUGGCAUCUAAACUGAGCCGAGCAGAAGGGCCAGGGCUGGGCAGUGGAAGGAGGUUGGUGCUCCAGAGGGAGCAGCAUUGGAGCGUCAGCCUUUGCAGAGAAACCAGCCAGUGGGUCAGGACGGCCCCCUCUCUCUGCUCAGAAUCCCGGAGACUAAGAUCCGUGUGACACAGAAAGGGCUCCACAGGGACCGGUAGUGGGGACCGAGUGGCCUCCUGGACUCCUUCUGACCUGCUUCACCACUGAAGUUUUCUGCUUCACCACUGACCCACGGCAGGCAUCAGGGCACGAUCCUGCCUCCUGGCUCCACAGAGAGCACCGAGAGUUUACACAGCCCUGGCCCUGUGCCAGGCACAGGCUGGGAAGCCAGUGUGCUGCCCAACCCAGGUGUUCAGUAAAUAUUUUUAAAAUAAAUGACCAAGAGAGCAGAGUCAAGCCUUGAGCAGGAGAGUGGAGAACAGUCUUUCUAAUGUAUAGACCGGCCCUAGAUGAAUUUAGAUUACACCCUACAUGGACACAUGACAUUUGCCUAACGAUUUCUGGUUUCCAUUGUGAUUUCACUUAUUCAUUAUUCAUCACACUGAGUCCUAGAUUUGCAAUAAUCCAACCUUUAGAAGAAGUGUUUCUCUUUGCUCCUUUCAGGAUUGAGGAAUGUAAAGAUUCUAUAGGACCAGGUACUUCCUGCUGGUCCUGGGGGCAAUGUAUUGUUUCUUAACCUGCCUUGGGAAUAACUGGGGAACAGAGAGGGCCCAUGGCCACCCCCUCUGCGUCCUGCCUGCUCCUGUCCUGGCCACCUGCCCCUGAUGCCAGCAAUCCCCUGUUCCACUGGUCUCAGCUGUCAGUGGCCCAGGUUUCUCGUGGAGGUCCUUUUCAGAGAUCAGGUCCUCCCCCUUGACUUUGACCUUUUCCUUCAUAGCUCUGAUCACAAUAUGUGAUCCGUGUCUCUUUUAGGAACAUGUUUGCUUAAGGCCGUCUUCCCCACUUGACUUAAGCUCUGUGAGGGCGGGGCCCACGCGCAUUUUACUCACCACUGUAGCCGGAGCUACGCCUCCAGUGCCCAGCCCAGGGUGAGUGCUCCGCCAAUAGCAUUAAAUGAAUGAAGCAGUGCUACGUGGCACCCUGAGAUGAUGCUUGUAGUAGCCUGAGCUUCUAGGAAGCACCGUGCACACACCUGUCCCAGAGGUGCUCAGUCUAUGGUCAGAGGGUGAGCCUCCAGCCAGACAAAUCAUUCAGAACCGUGCCUGAGCUUCUUAGGGUCUUGGGAAGGGCAUUUAAAUUGUCAGAAGAGGGGAGGUUGUGUGUGUUUUGGGGAUGGGGGAGUGUCCUAGCACCCUCACUCCUGCCCCUUCAGCUCUACUUUAAUUUGUUUCGCAUACUGGACUUCUCUGAAAUUUAACAAACGAGUUUAAAAAAGGUUAAAAAAAAAAAAAGCUUAAAAAAAGUUUGCAAACGAAUUAUGCAGUGGCAAAGGCAACUGGUUGCCAGACUACGACAUCUUGGGUUCUCUGCAUACUGGCUGGGGAGCCUCGCGCCAGGUCCCUUACCUCUCUCUGGCCUCAGGUACCUAAUCUAUAAAAUGGAAUCGUAAAUGGCCUCCUUACGGGACUUAAUGAGAUUGUGUAUGUAAAGCUUCCUGCGCUAAUAAGGACCUACAGUGUAGCACAGGGAACUCUACUCCAUACUCUGUGAUGGCCCAUAUGGGAAAGGCAUCUAAAAAGGAGUCGAUAUAUGUAUUUGUACAACUGAUUCACUUUGUUGUACAGCGGAAAGUCACACAACAUUGUAAGUCAACUAUACUCCAAUAAAAAUUAAAAAAAAAAAAAGAUACCCGCAUAAUAAGUCCUGAGGCAAUGCUCCGUGGGGCUGCUACAGUGAUUAGCUGGUACUCUCGGGGCUGUGAGCAUCUUAAGGCAGAGACUUCUCACUCACUGCUUGUUCCUUGAGCCCCUGACACAGACUCUGAGAGCAGCUUCUCGUCUCUAGCACUUUUGCUGUUUCCCCUCUGCUGAACUUGCUUUCCUACGGCCCCACCCAAUGCAGAGACUGACACACAAGCCACUUCCCACACCUGAUUCCCUGAUUAGGAGUUAGGAGUGUGACUCCCAGAGCCAGGCCCUCCCCUGCUCUAAAGAAGAACUUACCAGAAGCUCAGCUCCUGCCUUGGAUGCCCAGUUACACUGGGCUCUGAGGAACGUGCCUCUUCCUGGGCAGCUAGCUCCCCAGCCCUGGCAGAGACCCCGGGGCUGGCGGCGGGAGCCAGAAGUUGUGCAGGCUGCACUCUGGCUGGGGAGGUUUAAGCCCAUUUCCUUUUGCAUUUUGGGGACCCAUCCAUUACCCCAGGCACAGAUGGCAAAGCCAACGCAAAGCAGGAGGGAGAAAUCCAAUCCAGGAGAGCUUCUAGUUGUCCUGGCCACCCGCGUAGCUGCAGGGUUGGAAGGGGGGGUCGGCAGGGGGGCGGUGCUGACCGUGUAAGAUUUGUCUCAAGAACCUUGCGCUGGAGCCCCAGCUCUCCCUCCCUCCCGGCCCAGGUCGGUUCUCUGUGUGCUAGGCAAGACCUCAGCUUCAGACCCAUCGGAGACAAGCCGUUCCUCUUGCCUCCCCCCGUCUGCUGUUCAGGAGCCUCAAGAAAAUGACCUUGAACGUGGGGAGGGCUCUGCCCUCAGGCAGACUGGGCUGGAGUCCCAGCCCUGUGGUCCACCAGCUGUGUGAGCUCGGGUGAGUUGCACAACCUCCCAAAACCAAGGUUCUUCCCUGAUCAUUGGCAAUAAUAGCAAUAUCAACCACGCAAGGCUGUUUUCUAAUUUAACAAGGAUAAUACAAGUCACAGGCUGGCAGCAAGAGGGGACCCUGCACUUGCAGGGAGCUGAGCUCCUUAAACGGCAUGCCCUAGGCACCUCUCUUGCCUUGCCCCAUCCUGACCCUGGAAGCAGGCAUUGCAAUCUCCAUUUUAACUGUUUUAAGGAAACGGACCUUUCGCUUAGCCAGGUCGCCCAGCUGGCAAUGAGUGGCAGGGCUGGAGAAGAACCUGAGUUCUACUGGGGUCAAGACCAGGUGCUUGCCUCUCCACGGGGCUGGAGAGGAUGCCCCUGCGGGCUUUGCUCCCCACCUUGUCACCGGCAGAGUGCCACCAGCUCCCCACUAAUUUUGCAGGUGGGUUUGUCAGAAAUGGUUGUACCUGCUGGGGUGUUUCAGGGCAGCCACCUAUGUUGCAAGGGGUUGGGACAAAUUCCGUUAUGUGGCAUGACCUGGGUUAAGGAAUAAGCUUGAUGGGGAAAGGGAACACCCCACAGGCCAAGGUCAGCAAGACAGACCCAUGCGUGCUCUCCUGGCGGCACUAUCACCUCUGGGACAGGUGCGCUGGGGCCCAGACACCUGCUGUCUCAAGCUCCUCGCCCAUGUGGGACCCUCCCUCACUGCUCUGCAUCCUUACAGGGCAAGUGUGAGAAGUUGUCUUGCCAGUGGAGAAAUACACAAGUUUCAGGGCACCAGGCAGUCUGGAAUUACUAGAAUUGUCUAAAAAAAGCAAUGACCUUGACUCUGGGGAUCUUGAAACCUGUGAGAUGUGACAGUGCCCUCUGCCAGAAGGAGGGCACCUCCUGCCUCCUGAGAAGCUCAGCUUGUGUGCACUUCCCUUCGCUGGGGAGGUUAGAGUCCCCACCAACCCGGGUCCCAGCUGGCUUGCUCUCCUGGCCACUCAGGCGAGCACCGGGCUCAUGUUAGCUCAGCCCCCUCCCUGGUUGCAACUGGGAACCUCUGAGUGCUUGUGCCUUGUCAUAGGCAGAAAGUUCCAAUAUUCUGGUCCAUUCCUGCCUCUCCAGUCCCAAGCCAGAACCUGCCAGGGUGGGCAGUGUGCUCGCUUUGGCUCUCCCACGUCCGGUAGCCCUCAUCCCAGCCUACAGGUCUCUUGUCCUUGCCCCUCUGUAGCAGACCCAUCACCCCCUGAUUCAUUUUGCUGACCAGGAGCUCUCUGGGGUCCCUGUAGUCCCAUAGCAGAGGAGAGAGAGGAAGGUGCGACCUCCGCCACCUGCCAAGGCUGUCCCUCUCUGGGGCCACUGGUCCUUUCUUCCAAAUGACACCAAUACCAGGCAGGAAUAAUUUGUUCAGCUGCUUAUCCCAGCCCUGCUGCACAGACAUCCUAUUAACUCUAGGACCACGGGGGACCGGCUGGUUUGUUCCAAAUUAAAAGUAGCUGGCAGGCGGGAGGGCUGCAGUACAAAGACGCAGGGUGGAGUGGAUCAAAUCAGGUCUUAAUCAGCCUUUGGAGGCCCAGAGGUCCCUGGCCCUGCCAGUGUGACCCUCACCUUCCCCAUUCUUCUUAGGAUUCCAGAAUCUUCCAGGCCACAGAAUCUUCCCCAGACCACCUCUCUCAUCGGACCACAAGUCCCAAGUGCCAGACAGCUGUUAAUUCAUGAGAGCGGAUGUGGCCAUGUGAGGCAGCCAUGGAUGGCAGGAAGAUGCAGGGCAAGCAAGGGCACAGCUCUGGAGCCAGACAGUCCUGGGUUCAAAUCCUGCCACUUUCUGGCAGGAUAGCCAGGGACAAGCCAUGUCCCACCUUGAGUCUGUGUCCUCCCCUGGGAAAUGGGGCCAGUAAUUCCCUCCUCAUGGGGCUACGAGGAGAUGGUGCACGUGGCAUACCCAGCACCCAGCACAUAACUGCUGCCAGGAAAAGUCAGCUUCCCACCCUUCUCUUCUUUUCAUGCAAUUAAACCUCGGACCCAUAGCCAACAGAAAGGAGGCAGAGCCGAAAGAAACAAGGCUAUGAGUCAAGUCUUCUUCCGGCUCUUCUCUAGAUGUACGGCUCCUCCAACGUUGCCCCCUCCACGCCCAGUCACUCUCAAUUACAUCUUCCGUAAUCGGGAACUUGUCAACAGCUGAAAUUAUCCUUUUCAUUGAGUGGCUUUCGUUUUUAUUGGCCAUCCCCUCGCCCCUGUGAGAACAUGAGUGCUCACUGCAUGGGGCUUAUUGGUGAUGCCUUGAGCACCAGAUGCAUGUUGAAUAAGUGAUGACUAAUCACUUUUCCUGCCCAGCAACAUCAGGCUGUGAGACUGGAGUCCCUUUUUGAGGCCUGGGCUUUGUCAGGCGGAUUCAGAGGCCUCCACGCCCCAUCUCCCUGUUCUGAGUUUCUAUGCAGGAAUUUGACAGAAGCCACCAGCCACAGUGACCUUGAUGAGAUGAGGGAUCAGUGCAAGCAAGACCAGGGGCCUGGCCAUUCUUCCACCCCAGUUCUCCGGUGCUCUGUGGGAUGGCCCUCGCUGCCCGUCCACUACAGCUGGCCAGAUGCGCAGAGGGGAGGUCGGCUUCCCCCUCAGUGUCCAUCUGCUCCCCAACUGGAAGGGCAGGAGGGAGGACCCAGGCUCUGAGGGCCCCACAGGAGGGUAGGGAGUUGUGCAGAAGAAGCAGAGAUGAGAAACUUGUACAGGCACCCCAGGCCAUCUGGAUGCAAUGGAAGCCAGGACCCCAGGAAGAGACAUGAGGGAGAAGGUUUACCACUGCCAGUGAUUCCAAUCCCUGCACUCCUGAGUCUGGAGGUGGAAGGAAGCCUUCCUCCUGUUGGGAUGACGGCAGGAGGACCAUGAACUUAAAGCAAACCAUGGUCCUCUCUUCUUGAAGCCAUUGUGUUCCUUCUUGUGGUCUUAGAACUACAAAGAGCAGCAGACUGGGAGCUGGGUCUUCAGUUCCAGAUCCUUCCCUUCUCUGGGCCUCCAUUUCUUCAUCCCUAAAAUGAGGGAGCUUCUGGCUUCAAGCGUCCCUUCCAGUUUUGGAAUUUUAAGAUUUUAUAGCGAUCAUUGCAACACUACGCGUGGCACCUGCUCUGUGCCCGACCUUGCUCUAAGCACCGCACACACAAUUUUAUUUAAUACACACAAGAACCCUAGAAGGUGGAGAGCUCUCGUUAACCCAAUUUAUAGAUAAAAAGUUCUGAGCUUCAGGACGGGAAGGGCCUGGCUCUGGGUCACACAGCCAGCUUGGGACAGAGCCAGAAUUGGAAGUCAGGCUGUCUGUCUCCAAGUUCCAGCUCUACUUCCUAUAUGACGCUCCCUUCAUUUCUAAAACUCAGAUCCAGCAUAGGAAAGUAAUAAAGACAAAACUGGUUCUUCCGCAGCUUGACCAAGAGGCGAUGCAUGCUCUUAUUUGAGAAAUCAAGGUUUCAAGGCCUCUAUUCUGACUGAAGCAGCACAGGUUGGAGGAUUCUGCUGAGACCUGUGCCCCCCAGAUUACACCCCAGACCAUCAUCCACAUACACCCCUUCUCCAGUCAAACCACAAAAAAAUAUGGGAGAACUAGCCUGACAGCUGAGACUGCACAGAGGGGAAAGAAAUGAAAUACCACCCAGCAAGCAUUGCCAUUGUAAUUCCAGUCUAGCCAAUUUUCACUUUUUGCUGGCAUGAGCUGGUUUAGAAGCAGAGGCAGGUAAUCGGGCAGAAAUCAGGGAGGGAGAUGUGAUUCUGAGGCUUGUGUCUGAGAGGCUGGGGUUAGCCUACCCCAAUUUUCUUUCUGUAAUCUUUUGAUUAACCCUGAGCCAGUUUGGGCGUCAUUUUUCAAACCAUCUGUGCUUGACAAGCAGAGCCAAGCCCAGGCUUGCAGCUCGCUAUCUGUAAACAUCAGCUGGGAACCCGCUGUGCCUUGGAGCCUGGGAUACUCCUAAGCCACCAGGCAUAUUGGACUGCAGUCCAUCCAGCCCUGGCCUUGUGAGCUACCUACUUUUGUUAUUCCCAUCCUGGAGCUGGGAGAGGUUGAAUAACUUGCCCGAGGUCACAAAGCCAGAGCUGUGACUCUGAAGAUCCCAUACAGUACCAAAGAAACACUCUGUGUCAAAUCCCUCAGCAGCAUCACCCCUGGGAUGGACUGAAUUGUGUCCCCCCCCCCAGAUUCAUAAGUUGAAGUGCUAACUUCGAUGUAACUGUAUUUGGAGGUAAGAUUUUUAAAAGGAAAUUAAGGUUCAAUGAGGUCAUAAGGGUGGAGGCCUGAUCCAAUAGGACCGA